rnacentral:rRNA from 1 species
UACGUAGGGGGCAAGCGUUGUCCGGAUUUAUUGGGCGUAAAGAGCGUGUAGGCGGUUUGGUAGGUCCGCUGUGAAAACUCGGGGCUUAACCCCGGGCCUGCAGUGGGUACGGGCAGACUAGAGUGCGGUAGGGGAGACUGGAAUUCCUGGUGUAGCGGUGAAAUGCGCAGAUAUCAGGAGGAACACCGGUGGCGAAGGCGGGUCUCUGGGCCGUAACUGACGCUGAGGAGCGAAAGCGUGGGGAGCGAACAGG